rnacentral:rRNA from 1 species
UCGAGUGGGUUUAGGCCCACGGCGAACGGGUGAGUAAUACUUAGGAAUUUUCUUUAAGUCGAGAAUAUCCCACCGAAAGGUGGUGCANNNCUCGAUGUGGCCGCAAGGCUAAAGCCGCAAGGCGCUUAAAGUGAAGCCUGAAUCCCAUCAGCUAGUUGGUAAGGUAAAAGCUUACCANNNCUACGACGGGUAGCGGGUCCGAGAGGAUGAUNNNCCACACUGGGACUNNNACACGGCCCAGACUCCUACGGGAGGCNNNAGUUUGGANNUUUGGACAAUGGGGGAAACCCUGAUCCAGCGACGCCGCGUGGACGAAGACGGCCUNNNGGUUGUAAAGUCCUUUUGCUUGGGAAUAAUUUUGAAUGUACCAAGAGAAUAAGAGGUUGCUAACUCUGUGCCAGCAGCCGCG